CCUACGGGUGGCAGCAGUGAGGAAUAUUGGUCAAUGGACGGAAGCCUGAACCAGCCACGCCGCGUGCAGGAAGACGGCCCUAUGAGUUGUAAACUGCUUUUGUACAAGGGUAAACCUGAAUACGUGUAUUCAGCUGAAAGUACUGUACGAAUAAGGCUCGGCUAACUCCGUGCCAGCAGCCGCGGUAAUACGGAGGAUCCAAGCGUUAUCCGGAUUUAUUGGGUUUAAAGGGUGCGUAGGCGGAAUGAUAAGUUAGAGGUGAAAUGUCCGAGCUUAACUCGGGAACUGCCUCUAAUACUGGUGAUCUAGAGAGUAGGUGCGGUAGGCGGAAUGUAUGGUGUAGCGGUGAAAUGCUUAGAGAUCAUACAGAACACCGAUUGCGAAGGCAGCUUACCAGUCUAUAUCUGACGUUGAGGCACGAAAGCGUGGGGAGCAAACAGGAUUAGAUACCCCAGUAGUC
rnacentral:rRNA from 1 species